CCGCACUGCCUUUGACCCGGCGGAGCGCCCUCACACGGCGCCGUCGGCCAAGCAGCAGUGCCAGAGCGAAGCGCUUUGCUCUAACUGGUGCUGCGCGGCGGCCCCGCGCGGCGCUUUUAAAAGCAAGGCACAGCC
ensembl:snoRNA